UGCAAAUGUCCCCAUUUCAAAAGCUUUUUGACCCCUGGACUUUAUUCACAAACUAUUUUUACAAAUAAUUCAUUAUUACCUUACCUAGUUCUCAAAAAUAAAUCUACAUAAAAGGCAGUUUAGAAGUCAUCUAGUCCAAAUUCUUUUUUUUACAGAUGAGAAAAUAGAGGCUCACUAUGAUGAAGUGAUAUCUGAGGUUACAUAAAUGGAAAGUGGAAAAUCUGGGAUGUGAACAAGAGCCCUUAUCCCUCUGAGUCCUUCUACUCUUCCAGUGUCUCACUUUCCUGAACCAGGUCAAACACUCACAACAAAGGUCAAGUGGUUUCCAUUAUAUCUCCAAAUAAAAAUAACUCCUCUUCUUGUUUAGAAAAUAAUUUUUGCUUUAUUAUUAUAACUUUGAAUAGGCACAUGUAAAGUUUUGGAUUCAUCGUUGGAUUCUUCCACUUUUUUCAAACUCUUUCUCCCCAUUAGUAUUCAUAUUGAUCAGAAGUAGAUUAAUUUAAUGUUAAAUUAAAUUAAAUUAAUGUUAAAUGUCAGAUCUGAAACUAGAAUACAAGUCUUCUUUCUUGUGCAGUAUUCAUUUUGUUGUUGUUUGUUUUUUUUUUUCUCUUCUAUGUUGAAAGACCAAGAAGGAUGCCGCUUUUUAGAAUGCCAUCUGUUAUGUUUUCCCUAAGUUAACAUUAAUCUGUUAAGAAAUAGCUGUUUUGGGCAGAGUUUGGACAUAUAGGUUCAACCCUCAUCCAGGAUUUAAAUCUAGUGGUGAUUAAAUCUAGAUUGAUAAGUACUAGAGAUAUAAAACAAAAAGAAAACAAAAUCUAGCUUUUUCAUACCCAAGCUUGUGUUUAAAAAAAAUGACAAAUAUCAGCAGACAGGCCUAUUAAAUAGCUUGCAAGUAUAAGAAUGAGGACCAUUUAUGGUUAGCUCUAAGAAGGCCAGGUUAGCUACCAUGGGCUGAAAUGAGGUAGAGAUGAAAGAUUCCAGAUAAAGUUGAUCCACUUAGCUCCUAAUCUUAUGAUUUUU
rnacentral:lncRNA from 1 species